GACAUCCAGAGAAUUUAGCAGAGAUGCUUUAGUGCCUUCGGGAACUCUGAGACAGGUGCUGCAUGGCUGUCGUCAGCUCGUGUUGUGAAAUGUUGGGUUAACGUCCGCAACGAGCGCAACCCUUAUCCUUUGUUGCCAGCACGUAAUGGUGGGAAACUCAAAGGAGACUGCCGGUGAUAAACCGGAGGAAGGUGGGGAUGACGUCAAGUCAUCAUGGCCCUUACGAGUAGGGCUACACACGUGCUACAAUGGCGUAUACAAAGAGAAGCGACCUCGCGAGAGCAAGCGGACCUCAUAAAGUGCGUCGUAGUCCGGAUUGGAGUCUGCAACUCGACUCCAUGAAGUCGGAAUCGCUAGUAAUCGUAAAUCAGAAUGUUACGGUGAAUACGUUCCCGGGCCUUGUACACACCGCCCGUCACACCAUGGGAGUGGGUUGCAAAAGAAGUAGAUAGCUUAACCUUCGGGAGGGCGUUUACCACUUUGUGAUUCAUGACUGGGGUGAAGUCGUAACAAGGUAGGCGUAGUGCU
rnacentral:rRNA from 1 species